rfam:Anopheles atroparvus strain EBRO unplaced genomic scaffold supercont1.1, whole genome shotgun sequence.
UUUGAACAUGAUGAAGUUUAUAUACCGCCCCAGGCUGAAAACGCAUGAUCGAUUGGAAAUGUUCUGAACUAAU